ACCAUUAUGGUUUCUUAAUGGCUUGGAUUUGGGUGUUUGCCUUUCGAGGCUUGCCUUAAAAGAGUUAGCAUGUUGAUUAAUCAUCUGUCUGGCGUAAUAAGUUUCGCUGGGCUGGUUAUAAAGUGUGCUUCUAAUAGCCUUUAAUGGCAAUUAAUUUUAUCUUUGACCUCAAAUCAGGUAGGGCUACCCGCUGAACUUAA
rnacentral:misc_RNA from 1 species